rnacentral:rRNA from 1 species
UACGGAGGGUGCGAGCGUUGUCCGGAAUUACUGGGCGUAAAGGGUGCGUAGGCGGUUCGUUAAGUCUGUCGUGAAAUCCCCGGGCUCAACCUGGGAAUGGCGAUGGAUACUGGCGAGCUAGAGUGUGUCAGAGGAUGGUGGAAUUCCCGGUGUAGCGGUGAAAUGCGUAGAGAUCGGGAGGAACAUCAGUGGCGAAGGCGGCCAUCUGGGACAACACUGACGCUGAAGCACGAAAGCGUGGGGAGCAAACAGG